rnacentral:rRNA from 1 species
CUUAAUUAGAGUUUGAUCCUAGCUCAGGAUGAACGCUGGCGGCGUGGAUAAGGCAUGCAAGUCGAACGGCCGCAUCACAUGGAAUGUGAUGGGAAAUUCCAAAUUACAAAUCCCAAAUCACAAACAAAUCACAAAUUCAAAUCUCAAACGACUUUCUGAAGUCGUUCCCGCGCAGGCGGAAAUCCAGUUUAAUCUGGUUCCCCGUUUACAUGGGGAUGACAUUAAGAAAUGUCAUUUCGGGCUUUUGAUAUUAUGUAUUGUUUGGGAUUUGGUGCUUUGGUUUUGGGAUUUCCGCAUCGCAUUUCGCGCGAUGCGGCAGUGGCAGACGAGGUAGUAAUAAGCAGGUAACGUACCCUAGAGUCAGGCAUAGCUCAUCGAAAGGUGGGGUAAUUCCUGAUAGCCCCGCCUAACUUUCAGUACUGCAAUUUUUCGUCGGGCAGUCUCUCGCGCAACGGGAGAUAACUAAAACGAGAUUUUGAGUUUUGAAAGUUGGGCGGGUAAAGUCGCAAGACGCUCUGGAAGCGGCCUGUUCGGUAUCAGCUAGUUGGCAGGGUAAAAGCCUACCAAGGCUAUGACGCCUAGGGGACCUGAGAGGGUGACCCCCACCGAUGGAACUGAGAUAAACGCUCGCUAGAUAUGAUUUUUUUGUGCAGAAUGCUUCAGCAAUCGGAAAUUAUAGUCGCUUCGUUUACGAAAAAUUGAAAACUCGCCGCGAUUACGCGGCUCAAACAGUUCAAUUUUUCUACGAAGCUUCUUAAUUUCCAAAUUGCUUCUCGCAAUGCUCAAAAAAAUCAUAUCUAGCUCGCUACGGUUGAUAAAAAACCAAGUGAAAAAGAGCAACUGUUUCCUUGCGGAGUAAUCCGCAAGUAAAAUCCAACUCAUAACGGUGGAAUCUGCCGAAAGGCAGACAAUACCGUGGGAAGUUCCACUUUACUUAAGUAAAGUGGAACCCCGUAACGACUCUUUGUAAGGAAACGAAGGAGUUAUCGCAACGCAAUUAAGAGCUAAAGCGGUAGCUAACAUGUUGGCCCCGAAAUAACUCUCUACAAGAUUAUUUCGGGUGAAGGUAUAGUCUGAUACUCUGAGUGAUCGGAGAAAACACUAUGACGGUCCAUACACCUACGGGUGGCUGCAGCCGAGAAUAUUCGACAAUGGGCGAAAGCCUGAUCGAGCGACGCCGCGUGCGGGAUGAAGUCCUUCGGGAUGUAAACCGCUUUUGUAGACUAGAAAGUUUAUUGAUCAGUCUAAGAAUAAGAGGUUACUAAACUCGUGCCAGCAGUAGCGGUAAUACGAGUGCCUCAAGCGUUAUCCGGAAUUAUUGGGCGUAAAGGGUGUGUAGGCGGUCUUGUUAGUCUUCUGUCAAAUUCUUCGGCUUAACCGGGGGCUCGCAGAAGAAACGGCAAGACUUGAGGGUGCGAGAGGUUUGCGGAACUCAUGGUGUAGGGGUGAAAUCCGUUGAUAUCAUGGGGAACACCGAAAGCGAAGGCAGCAAACUGGCGCAUUCCUGACGCUGAAACACGAAAGCGUGGGUAGCGAAUGGGAUUGACGCUCGCAGUACAUGCUUUUUUAAGCAGAAUGCUUCGGCAAAAGAAAAUCAUAGUCGGUUCACAACGAGAAAUGAAAAACUCGCAGACUCAAACAGUUUCAUUUCUCUGUUCACCUCCUCG